rnacentral:rRNA from 1 species
UACAGAGGGUGCUAGCGUUAAUCGGAAUUACUGGGCGUAAAGCGCACGUAGGUGGUAAUGUAAGUCAGAUGUGAAAUCCCCGGGCUUAACCUGGGAACUGCAUUUGAAACUGUAUAACUAGAGUAGGGUAGAGGAGAGGGGAAUUUCCGGUGUAGCGGUGAAAUGCGUAGAUAUCGGAAGGAGCACCAGUGGCGAAGGCGCCUCUCUGGAUUCAUACUGACACUGAGGUGCGAAAGCGUGGGGAGCAAACAGG